AAAAACAUCUUUUCUUGUUAUUUUUAUGAAAUUUGUCCUGCCCAAUGAAUAUUUUAAUGGCCGCAGUAUCUUGACUGUGCAAAGGUAGCAUAAUCAUUAGUUUAUUAAUUGUAGACUUGUAUGAAUGGUUUGACGAAACAUUAACUGUCUCAUAUUUAUUUUAGAAAUUGAAUUUUAAGUGAAAAUGCUUAAUUUUUUUUGUAGGACGAGAAGACCCUAUAGAUCUUUAAUUUUUCUUUAUUACUUUAUUUUAGUUAAAUUAUUAAUGUAAUAUUUGUAUGAUUUUUUAUUGGGGUGAUGUUGAGAUAUAAUUAACUCUUAAUUUUUUAAUUCAAUAAUUUUUGAAUUAUUGAUCCUUUAUUAUGGUUUAUAAGAUUAAGAUACCUUAGGGAUAACAGCGUAAUCUUUAUUGAGAGUUCUUAUCGACAUAAAGGGUUGCGACCUCGAUGUUGGAUUAAGAUAAUUAUUAGGUGUAGGUGCUUAAUUAAUAGGUCUGUUCGACCUUUAUAUUCUU
rnacentral:rRNA from 1 species